rnacentral:lncRNA from 1 species
CAAAAUGACUGGGAUCUUUGUUACUGGGGAGACCCCACGCUCAGUGGUGGAGUUUUCCAAGACCCAGUUCUGCACCUGAUUCUCUUCCCAACCCAUCUUCUCACUCAAUGAACUUUUGAACUUUGUUCACACCCAGGGCUUUCAUCACCACCUGACUCUCAAAUUUUUGUUUCCAGUCAUGGCUGGUCCUUGGACCCUCAAACCCAUAUAUGCAGUGACUCACUUGACAUUUCCACUUGGAUCAUGCCAAGACAUCUAGGGCUUCACAUGGCCAAGACUAAACUCAUGUACUGCCUUUACCCCCAACCUGGUCCUUCUGCAGAUUCCCAGGCCUGGGGACCAGGAAUCAUACUUGACUCCAACACCUCUUCCUCUACCUGUCUUCUUAGCUUUUAGUACCUUUUAAGGACCUGUUCAUCUUGGCCUCUUGUCUUCAUCUUCAUUGCCGCCUCAUUAGCCAAGCUACCAUCAUCUUUGGUAAUUAAUUCUUUUAAUUUUUUACUUUUUGGUAGUUUAUUUUUGCUUACAUGAUUAUUUGAUUAUGUCUGCCUCCCCCACUAGCUUAUACACUGUGUAAGGGCAGGGACUAGCUUUUUUUUGUAUCCUCAACAUCUUACUUGGCCCCUCAGUAAAUAGUUGUUGAGUGAAUAAUCUGUUUUAAACUUUUUAUUCAUUUUGAGGGCUGUUGAUAUAAUCACUGCUUCAUUAUGGCUUGCUGCUUUCAGGACGAUGAAAUCACGAAGCUGAAAUCAGAACGAUGUGCUUAGAUGACUUUGCAUUCCAUGAAGUCGGGGAGCAUAGAGGUUUUGUCUAUGGAGGUUGAUCAAGGGGGUCUGAGGGAACCACAUGAUGUGAGCUGAGACAUGGACACACGACAUGGCAGGUGAGUGCACACACACACUCACAACCAUCCUUGGGCAGCCCUUCUCUUACUUCCUUGCUCAACAGACGUUAUCUUUAUUUGGAGAAUCAAUUGUGAAAUCAAUCCCUCACUAUUUCUCCAAUAAUGCAGCUAAUAAAAAGAAAAGCUAUUUUGAUGGUGUCUGGUUUUCAGCUAAAAGGUGGGUCAAAAUAGCAAUUUUAUCAGCUGCCCUUUGAAAGUGCUUCUCUUGGUCACAGCAGUUCACAGGGAGAAACACGAUGAUUCUGACACCAUUCUUGAUAUUAGCUCCUGCCUGAGGUAACAUAUUGUGUUACCUCUGAAACAGGGCAUCCGUGGGUAGCCAGCAAGGUCAAGUCAAGAUUAUAUCAUGCCACCAUGUCAUCAGAACAUGGCUCAGUUCUCCCCUAUCACCUGUUCCAGUGAAAUACUGGCCAAAAUGGUGUGUCUGUGGGAUUCUGGCAAAAGUGGGCCAUGGGAAGAAGCCCCAGGCCCUGGGCUUUUCAUGCCCUUUCUUGAACCUUCUCUUCUUAGACACUUCUCUAAGAAAACUACCCCAGUGUCAUAGUGAUGACUCUGACUUGUUGUUCCUGCCCUCAAGUAGAUGGAAAGGCCCUUGAGGGCAGAAACCAGGAACUUUCCAUUCUCCACCAACACCUAUCUGGGUCUUCAUGGGUUCUUAGGAUUUCCCUGGUAGGGGGCAGAGGUAUGGCUGUGAAGUAGUUAGAAAUUAAGUAAUCGAGUCAGAGAGAAUAAAUCUACUUUCUGUACCUGCCACUUCUUGGCUAAGAACUUUGGGCAAAUUACUUAAUAUUGCUGAGCCUCAGUUUCCUCAUCUAUAAAACAGGGAUCAUAAUAGUAGUUAUUAUAUGUUACUUGCAUAAGGUUUUGUGAGGUGGAGUCAAUGAAAUAAUGCAUAUAAAGCUUUUAGUUUAGUGCCUGGAAACAGGAAAUACAUAAUAAAUGCCAGUUUAUGGAAUGAAUGGAGGGUGGAAGUGCCCUCCUUCCUGGAUUGGGGGUCAGGGGAGAUGCUGGCAUACACUGGAACCCAUUGGAGGUGAAUUCUCAGCUCUUCUAAGUUCACCACUCCUUUGGAUCUGAAUUCCAAAAAUGGAAAAUAGACACCAUUGCCCUUUACUGCCAUCUUGUUAAGCAAGGCACAGAUUUAGAACUCACAUAUUUUACAGGUUAAAUGCCAGCAGAAGACAUAAAACAGAUUGCAGUGUCCCCAGCCAGCAGCCCCUUAUUGCAUAUAUCUUACAGAUAAAGUAGUUUUAUUUGUUGUCCCUUUUACUAACCCAUCUUGUCUAAGUAUAUUUUUU